UGUUAACUGAAUACAUAGGUUAACAGGGCGAACCGGGGGAACUGAAACAUCUAAGUACCCCGAGGAGAAGAAAUCAACCGAGAUUCCGAUAGUAGCGGCGAGCGAAAUUGGAUUAGCCCUUAAGCUUUACAUGCGUCAGGUGAAGGUUCUGGAAAGGACCGCGAAACAGGGUGAUAGCCCCGUAGCCGACAGCGCAUGUUCAGUGAAAUCGAGUAGGGCGGGACACGUGUUAUCCUGUCUGAAUAUGGGGGGACCAUCCUCCAAGGCUAAAUACUCCUGACUGACCGAUAGUGAACCAGUACCGUGAGGGAAAGGCGAAAAGAACCCCUGUGAGGGGAGUGAAAUAGAACCUGAAACCGUGUACGUACAAGCAGUAGGAGCCUCCUUUGUGGGGUGACUGCGUACCUUUUGUAUAAUGGGUCAGCGACUUAUAUUCAGUGGCAAGGUUAACCAUUUAGGGGAGCCGUAGGGAAACCGAGUCUUAACUGGGCGUUCAGUCUCUGGAUAUAGACCCGAAACCGGGUGAUCUAGCCAUGGGCAGGUUGAAGGUUGAGUAACAUCAACUGGAGGACCGAACCGACUAAUGUUGAAAAAUUAGCGGAUGACUUGUGGCUAGGGGUGAAAGGCCAAUCAAACUCGGAGAUAGCUGGUUCUCCCCGAAAGCUAUUUAGGUAGCGCCUCGGACGAAUACUACUGGGGGUAGAGCACUGUUAAGGCUAGGGGGUCAUCCCGACUUACCAACCCUUUGCAAACUCCGAAUACCAGUAAGUACUAUCCGGGAGACACACGGCGGGUGCUAACGUCCGUCGUGGAGAGGGAAACAACCCAGACCGCCAGCUAAGGUCCCAAAUUACAGCUAAGUGGGAAACGAUGUGGGAAGGCUCAGACAGCUAGGAUGUUGGCUUAGAAGCAGCCAUCAUUUAAAGAAAGCGUAAUAGCUCACUAGUCGAGUCGGCCUGCGCGGAAGAUGUAACGGGGCUAAGCUGUAAACCGAAGCUGCGGCAAUGCGAUUUAUCGUAUUGGGUAGGGGAGCGUUCUGUAAGCCGUUGAAGGUGUGUUGUAAAGCAUGCUGGAGGUAUCAGAAGUGCGAAUGCUGACAUGAGUAACGACAAGGGGGGUGAAAAACCUCCCCGCCGGAAGACCAAGGGUUCCUGUCCAACGUUAAUCGGGGCAGGGUAAGUCGACCCCUAAGGCGAGGCCGAAAGGCGUAGUCGAUGGGAAACGGGUUAAUAUUCCCGUACUUCUUACAAUUGCGAUGGGGGGACGGAGAAGGCUAGGUGGGCCUGGCGACGGUUGUCCAGGUUCAAGUGCGUAGGCUUGAGGGUUAGGUAAAUCCGGCUCUCUUUAAGGCUGAGACACGACGUCGAGCUACUACGGUAGUGAAGUCAUUGAUGCCAUGCUUCCAGGAAAAGCCUCUAAGCUUCAGAUUGUAAGGAAUCGUACCCCAAACCGACACAGGUGGUCGGGUAGAGAAUACCAAGGCGCUUGAGAGAACUCGGGUGAAGGAACUAGGCAAAAUGGUACCGUAACUU
rnacentral:rRNA from 1 species